AUUGAACGCUGGCGGCAGGCCUAACACAUGCAAGUCGAGCGGAUGAAGGGAGCUUGCUCCUGGAUUCAGCGGCGGACGGGUGAGUAAUGCCUAGGAAUCUGCCUGGUAGUGGGGGAUAACGUCCGGAAACGGGCGCUAAUACCGCAUACGUCCUGAGGGAGAAAGUGGGGGAUCUUCGGACCUCACGCUAUCAGAUGAGCCUAGGUCGGAUUAGCUAGUUGGUGGGGUAAAGGCCUACCAAGGCGACGAUCCGUAACUGGUCUGAGAGGAUGAUCAGUCAAACUGGAACCGAGACACGGUCCAGACUCCUACGGGAGGCAGCAGUGGGGAAUUUUCGGCAAUGGGCGAAAGCCUGAACCAGCCAAGCCGCGUGUGUGAAAAAGGUCUUCGGAUUGUAAAACACUUUUAGUUGGGAAGAAAGGGAGUAAAUUAAAAACUUGCCGUUUUGACGGUACCCAACAAAAAAGCCACGGCUAACUUCGUG
rnacentral:rRNA from 1 species